rnacentral:rRNA from 1 species
ACUCCUACGGGAGGCAGCAGUGGGGAAUAUUGCACAAUGGGGAAAGGCCAUCCGAUGCAGCCAUGCCGCGCUGUGUGAAGAAGGCCAAUUCGGGCUUGGUUAAAGACACUUUCAGUAGGGAGGAAGGUAGUGUAGUUAACACCUGCAUUAUUUGACGUUACCUACAGAAGAAGCACCGGCUAACUCCGUGCCAGCAGCCGCGGUAAUACGGAGGGUGCGAGCGUUAAUCGGAAUUACUGGGCGUAAAGCGCAUGCAGGCGGCCUGUUAAGUCAGAUGUGAAAGCCCGGGCUU